CGGAUUNUAGGCUGCAACUCGCCUACAUGAAGUCGGAGUUGCUAGUAAUCGCGGAUCAGAAUGCCGCGGUGAAUGCGUUCCCGGGUCUUGUACACACCGCCCGUCACACCAUGGAAGUUGGGGCGCCCGAAGUUGGUCGAGGAAUAGAUUACCUAAGGCGAAACCAAUGACUGGGUGAAGUCGUAACAAGGUAUC
rnacentral:rRNA from 1 species